rnacentral:rRNA from 1 species
GACAGAGGGGGCAAGCGUUGCUCGGAAUUACUGGGCGUAAAGGGCGCGUAGGCGGGAUGGCAAGUCGGUCGUGAAAUCCUUCGGCUCAACCGAAGAACGUCGAUCGAAACUGCCGUUCUUGAGGAUUGCAGAGGAGACUGGAAUUCCCGGUGUAGCGGUGAAAUGUGUAGAGAUCGGGAGGAACACCGGUGGCGAAGGCGGGUCUCUGGGCAAUUCCUGACGCUGAGGCGCGAAAGCGUGGGGAGCAAACGGG